GGCGAGAUGGCCGAGCGGUUAAGGCGGUAGACUCGAAUGAUUAUCAUAUUCGGAUAUCUACUCUCUUCGGAGGCGUCGGUUCAAAUCCGGCUCUCGUCG
rfam:Valsa mali strain 03-8 chromosome 5, whole genome shotgun sequence.